rnacentral:rRNA from 1 species
AGCGAACGCUGGCGGCAGGCCUAACACAUGCAAGUCGAACGAAGUCUUCGGACUUAGUGGCGGACGGGUGAGUAACACGUGGGAACGUACCUUUUGGUUCGGAACAACUCAGGGAAACUUGAGCUAAUACCGGAUGAGCCCUUAGGGGGAAAGAUUUAUCGCCGAAAGAGCGGCCCGCGUUAGAUUAGCUAGUUGGUGAGGUAAAGGCUCACCAAGGCUACGAUCUAUAGCUGGUCUGAGAGGAUGAUCAGCCACACUGGGACUGAGACACGGCCCAGACUCCUACGGGAGGCAGCAGUGGGGAAUCUUGCGCAAUGGGCGAAAGCUUGACGCAGCCAUGCCGCGUGAAUGAUGAAGGUCUUAGGAUUGUAAAAUUCUUUUACCAGGGACGAUAAUGAUGGUACCUGGGGAAAAAGCCCCGGCUAACUUCGUGCCAGCCGCCGCAGUAACAC